GGGUUGUGAGGUUAAGCGAAUGAAGCGUACACGGUGGAUGCCUAGGCAGUCAGAGGCGAUGAAGGACGUGCUAAUCUGCGAAAAGCGUCGGUAAACUGAUAUGAAGCGUACUAGCCGGCGAU
rnacentral:rRNA from 1 species